GUCCCUGUAGCGCAGUGUAUAUCGCUUUGGACCUCUAAUCCAAAGGUCACGGGUUCGAAUCCUGGCAGGGAUG